rnacentral:rRNA from 1 species
CUUGUCCUACGGGGGGCAGCAGUGGGGAAUAUUGCACAAUGGGGGGAACCCUGAUGCAGCGACGCCGCGUGAGUGAAGAAGUAUUUCGGUAUGUAAAGCUCUAUCAGCAGGGAAGAAGAUGACGGUACCUGACUAAGAAGCCCCGGCUAACUACGUGCCAGCAGCCGCGGUAAUACGUAGGGGGCAAGCGUUAUCCGGAUUUACUGGGUGUAAAGGGUGCGUAGGUGGCAGGGCAAGUCAGAUGUGAAAGCCCGGGGCUCAACCCCGGUACUGCAUUUGAAACUGUCCAGCUGGGGUGCAGGAGG